rnacentral:rRNA from 1 species
GACGAACGCUGGCGGCGUGCUUAACACAUGCAAGUCGAACGGAAAGGCCCUGCUUUUGUGGGGUGCUCGAGUGGCGAACGGGUGAGUAACACGUGAGUAACCUGCCCUUGACUUUGGGAUAACUUCAGGAAACUGGGGCUAAUACCGGAUAGGAGCUCCUGCUGCAUGGUGGGGGUUGGAAAGUUUCGGCGGUUGGGGAUGGACUCGCGGCUUAUCAGCUUGUUGGUGGGGUAGUGGCUUACCAAGGCUUUGACGGGUAGCCGGCCUGAGAGGGUGACCGGCCACAUUGGGACUGAGAUACGGCCCAGACUCCUACGGGAGGCAGCAGUGGGGAAUAUUGCACAAUGGGCGGAAGCCUGAUGCAGCAACGCCGCGUGCGGGAUGACGGCCUUCGGGUUGUAAACCGCUUUCGCCUGUGACGAAGCGUGAGUGACGGUAAUGGGUAAAGAAGCACCGGCUAACUACGUGCCAGCAGCCGCGGUGAUACGUAGGGUGCGAGCGUUGUCCGGAUUUAUUGGGCGUAAAGGGCUCGUAGGUGAUUGAUCGCGUCGGAAGUGUAAUCUUGGGGCUUAACCCUGAGCGUGCUUUCGAUACGGGUUGACUUGAGGAAGGUAGGGGAGAAUGGAAUUCCUGGUGGAGCGGUGGAAUGCGCAGAUAUCAGGAGGAACACCAGUGGCGAAGGCGGUUCUCUGGGCCUUUCCUGACGCUGAGGAGCGAAAGCGUGGGGAGCGAACAGGCUUAGAUACCCUGGUAGUCCACGCUGUAAACGGUGGGUACUAGGUGUGGGGUCCAUUCCACGGGUUCCGUGCCGUAGCAAACGCUUUAAGUACCCCGCCUGGGGAGUACGGCCGCAAGGCUAAAACUCAAAGGAAUUGACGGGGCCCCGCACAAGCGGCGGAGCAUGCGGAUUAAUUCGAUGCAACGCGUAGAACCUUACCUGGGUUUGACAUGGAUCGGGAGUGCUCAGAGAUGGGUGUGCCUCUUUUGGGGUCGGUUCACAGGUGGUGCAUGGCUGUCGUCAGCUCGUGUCGUGAGAUGUUGGGUUAAGUCCCGCAACGAGCGCAACCCUUGUUCACUGUUGCCAGCACGUUAUGGUGGGGACUCAGUGGAGACCGCCGGGGUCAACUCGGAGGAAGGUGGGGAUGACGUCAAGUCAUCAUGCCCCUUAUGUCCAGGGCUUCACGCAUGCUACAAUGGCUGGUACAGAGAGUGGCGAGCCUGUGAGGGUGAGCGAAUCUCGGAAAGCCGGUCUCAGUUCGGAUUGGGGUCUGCAACUCGACCUCAUGAAGUCGGAGUCGCUAGUAAUCGCAGAUCAGCAACGCUGCGGUGAAUACGUUCCCGGGGCU